ACGGGAGGCAGCAGUGAGGAAUAUUGGUCAAUGGACGGAAGUCUGAACCAGCCAUGCCGCGUGAAGGAAGAAUGCCCUAUGGGUUGUAAACUUCUUUUGCCGCAGAGUAAUAAGUGGGAUGCGUCCCAUGAUGAGAGUAUGCGGCGAAUAAGCAUCGGCUAACUCCGUGCCAGCAGCCGCGGUAAUACGGAGGAUGCAAGCGUUAUCCGGAUUUAUUGGGUUUAAAGGGUGCGUAGGCGGACUGUUAAGUCAGCGGUGAAAUACCACGGCUCAACCGUGGGGCUGCCGUUGAUACUGGCGGUCUGGAGUACGAUCGGCGCCGGCGGAAUGUGUCAUGUAGCGGUGAAAUGCAUAGAUAUGUCACAGAACACCGAUUGCGAAGGCAGCUGACUAAUCCGCAACUGACGCUCAGGCACGAAAGCGUGGGGAUCGAACAGGAUUAGAUACCCUGGUA
rnacentral:rRNA from 1 species